AUGGCUGUCGUCAGCUCGUGUCGUGAGAUGUUGGGUUAAGUCCCGCAACGAGCGCAACCCUUGUCCUUAGUUGCCAGCACAUUAUGGUGGGAACUCUAGGGAGACUGCCGGUGACAAACCGGAGGAAAGUGGGGACGACGUCAAGUCAUCAUGGCCCUUAUAGGCAGGGCUACACACGUGCUACAAUGGGGAGUACAGAGGGCCGCCAACCAGCGAUGGUGAGCCAAUCCCUUAAAGCUUCUCGUAGUCCGGAUCGGAGUCUGCAACUCGACUCCGUGAAGUCGGAAUCGCUAGUAAUCGCGAAUCAGAAUGUCGCGGUGAAUACGUUCCCGG
rnacentral:rRNA from 1 species